rnacentral:misc_RNA from 1 species
GAAAUGCGAUAAGUAGUGUGAAUUGCAGAAUUCAGUGAAUCAUCGAAUCUUUGAACGCACAUUGCGCCCCUCGGUAUUCCGUGGGGCAUACCUGUUCGAGCGUCAUCUACACCCUCAAGCUCUGCUUGGUGUUGGGCGUCUGUCCCGCCUCCGCGCGUGGACUCGCCCCAAAUUCAUUGGCAGCGGUCCUUGCCUCCUCUCGCGCAGCACAUUGCGCUUCUCGAGGGGCUACGGCUCGCGUCCAACAAGCACAUUUACCGUCUUUGACCUCGGAUCAGGUAGGGAUACCCGCUGAACUUAAGC